rnacentral:rRNA from 1 species
UACGUAGGGGGCAAGCGUUGUCCGGAUUUAUUGGGCGUAAAGAGCGUGUAGGCGGUUAGGUAGGUCCGUUGUGAAAACUCGAGGCUCAACCUCGAGACGCCGAUGGAAACCAUCUGACUAGAGUCCGGAAGAGGAGAGUGGAAUUCCUGGUGUAGCGGUGAAAUGCGCAGAUAUCAGGAGGAACACCGAUGGCGAAGGCAGGUCUCUGGGCAUUAACUGACGCUGAGGAGCGAAAGCAUGGGGAGCGAACAGG